rnacentral:rRNA from 1 species
UCAUGGCUCAGGAUGAACGCUAGCGGGAGGCUUAACACAUGCAAGUCGAGGGGCAGCAUAAGGUAGCAAUACUUUGAUGGCGACCGGCGCACGGGUGAGUAACGCGUAUGUAACCUACCCUGUACAGGGGGAUAGCCCGGAGAAAUUCGGAUUAAUACCCCAUAAUGAUAUUGAGAGGCAUCUUUUAAUAUUUAAAGUUUCGGCGGUACGGGAUGGGCAUGCGUGACAUUAGCUAGUUGGUAGGGUAACGGCCUACCAAGGCUGCGAUGUCUAGGGGUCCUGAGAGGGUGAUCCCCCACACUGGUACUGAGACACGGACCAGACUCCUACGGGAGGCAGCAGUGAGGAAUAUUGGUCAAUGGGCGCAAGCCUGAACCAGCCAUCCCGCGUGCAGGAAGAAGGCGCUAUGCGUCGUAAACUGCUUUUCCAGGGGAAGAAAACCUGAUACGUGUAUCGGCUUGCCGGUACCCUGGGAAUAAGCAUCGGCUAACUCCGUGCCAGCAGCCGCGGUAAUACGGAGGAUGCGAGCGUUAUCCGGAUUUAUUGGGUUUAAAGGGUGCGUAGGCGGAUUAAUAAGUCAGUGGUGAAAACCUUCAGCUUAACUGGAGACUUGCCAUUGAUACUGUUAGUCUUGAGUACGGUCAAGGUAGGCGGAAUGUGUAAUGUAGCGGUGAAAUGCUUAGAUAUUACACAGAACACCGAUUGCGAAGGCAGCUUACUGGGCCAUUACUGACGCUGAUGCACGAAAGCGUGGGGAGCGAACAGGAUUAGAUACCCUGGUAGUCCACGCCGUAAACGAUGAUCACUCGCUGUUAGCGAUACACAGUUAGCGGCUAAGCAAAAGCAUUAAGUGAUCCACCUGGGGAGUACGGCCGCAAGGCUGAAAACUCAAU